GUCUCCGUAGCUCAAUUGGACAGAGCAACUGCCUUCUAAGCAGUAGGUUGUGUGUUCAAUUCACACCGGAGACA
rnacentral:tRNA from 1 species